rnacentral:rRNA from 1 species
GACGAACGCUGGCGGCGGGCUUAACACAUGCAAGUCGAACGGAAAGGCCCUGCGUUUGUGGGGUUCUCGAGUGGCGAACGGGUGAGGGACAGGUGAGUAACCGGCCCUUGACUUUGGUAGAACUUCAGGAAGCUGGGGCUAAUACCGUAUCGGAUCUGCUGCAGCGUGGAGGGGGGUGGAAAGUUUCGGCGGGUGGGGAUGGACUCGCGGCUUAUCAGCUUGUUGGUUGGGUAGUCGCUUACCAAGGCUUCGACGGGUAGCCGGCCCGAGAGGGUGACCGGCCACAUGGGGACUGAGAGACGGCCCAGAGUCCUACGGGAGGCAGCAGUGGGGAAUCUUGCCCAGUCGGCGGGAGCCUGAUGAAGCAACGCCGCGUGCGGGAUGACGGCCUUCUGGUUGUAAACCGCUUUCGCCUGUGACGACGCGGGAGUGACGGUAAUGAAUGAAGAAGCACCGGCUAACUACGUG